AGUGGCGGACGGGUGAGUAACGCGUGGGUAACCUGCCUUAUACAGGGGGAUAACAGUUGGAAACGACUGCUAAUACCGCAUAAGCGCACAGUGCCGCAUGGCACAGUGUGAAAAACUCCGGUGGUAUAAGAUGGACCCGCGUCUGAUUAGCUAGUUGGUGAGGUAACGGCUCACCAAGGCGACGAUCAGUAGCCGGCUUGAGAGAGUGAUCGGCCACAUUGGGACUGAGACACGGCCCAAACUCCUACGGGAGGCAGCAGUGGGGAAUAUUGCACAAUGGGGGAAACCCUGAUGCAGCAACGCCGCGUGAGUGAAGAAGUAUUUCGGUAUGUAAAGCUCUAUCAGCAGGGAAGAUAAUGACGGUACCUGACUAAGAAGCCCCGGCUAAUUACGUGCCAGCAGCCGCGGUAAUACGUAGGGGGCAAGCGUUAUCCGGAUUUACUGGGUGUAAAGGGAGCGUAGGCGGCUUGGCAAGUCUGAUGUGAAAGCCCAGGGCUCAACCCUGGGACUGCAUUGGAAACUGUCAGGCUAGAGUGCAGGAGAGGUAAGUGGAAUUCCUAGUGUAGCGGUGAAAUGCGUAGAUAUUAGGAGGAACACCAGUGGCGAAGGCGGCUUACUGGACUGUAACUGACGCUGAGGCUCGAAAGCGUGGGGAGCAAACAGGAUUAGAUACCCUGGUAGUCCACGCUGUAAACGAUGAAUACUAGGUGU
rnacentral:rRNA from 1 species